AACGAACGCUGGCGGCGCGCUUAACACAUGCAAGUCGAACGAGAAGCCGGAGCAAUCCGGUUGUAAAGUGGCGAACGGGUGAAGAAUACAUGGGUGACCUACCCUCGAGUGGGGAAUAACCCGCCGAAAGGCGGGCUAAUGCCGCGUACGCUUCCAUUCUCGCGGGGAUGGAAGGAAAGCUGCACCUUGGGUGCGGCGCUCAAGGAUGGGCUCAUGUCCUAUCAGCUUGUUGGCGGGGUAACGGCCCACCAAGGCUCCGACGGGUAGCUGGUCUGAGAGGACGAUCAGCCACACUGGCACUGCGACACGGGCCAGACUCCUACGGGAGGCAGCAGUGAGGAAUAUUGCGCAAUGGGCGACAGCCUGACGCAGCGACGCCGCGUGGGGGAUGAAGGUCUUCGGAUUGUAAACCCCUUUCGGGAGGGAAGAUGGAACGGGCAACCGUUCGGACGGUACCUCCAGAAGCAGCCACGGCUAACUUCGUGCCAGCAGCCGCCGU
rnacentral:rRNA from 1 species